CUCUGGGCSAUUACUGACGCUGAGGAGCGAAAGUYGUGGGGAGCGAACAGGAUUAGAUACAGGUAGWSSACGCCGUAAACGGUGGGAACUAGGUGUUGGCGCWCAUUMMACGUCGUCGGUGCCGCAGCUAACGCAUUAAGUUCCCCGCCUGGGGAGUACGGCCGCAAGGCUAAAWYUCMMAGGAAUUGACGGGGGCCCGCACAAGCAGCGGAGCAUGUGGCUUAAUUCGACGCAACGCGAAGAACCUUACCAAGGCUUGACAUAUACCGGAAAGCAUCAGAGAUGGUGCCCCCCUUGUGGUCGGUAUACAGGUGGUGCAUGGCUGUCGUCAGCUCGUGUCGUGAGAUGUUGGGUUAAGUCCCGCAACGAGCGCAACCCUUGUUCUGUGUUGCCAGCAUGCCCUUCGGGGUGAUGGGGACUCACAGGAGACUGCCGGGGUCAACUCGGAGGAAGGUGGGGACGACGUCAAGUCAUCAUGCCCCUUAUGUCUUGGGCUGCACACGUGCUACAAUGGCAGGUACAAUGAGCUGCGAAGCCGCGAGGYGGAGCGAAUCUCAAAAAGCCUGUCUCAGUUCGGAUUGGGGUCUGCAACUCGACCCCAUGAAGUCGGAGUUGCUAGUAAUCGCAGAUCAGCAUUGCUGCGGUUGAAUACGUUCCCGGGCCUUGUACACACCGCCCGUCACGUCACGAAAGUCGGUAACACCCGAAGCCGGUGGCCCAACCCCUUGUGRGAGGGAGCUGUCGAAGGUGGGACUGGCGAUUGGGGACGAAGUCKUAACAAGGUAACCCG
rnacentral:rRNA from 1 species